rnacentral:lncRNA from 7 species
UUUUUCCACCAGGAAAUAAAAGAUUUCCUCGUGGCUUUUAGUAACAGCAAAGAGGAAUCCUUUCCACUGCGGCUCAGAACAAGCUGGUCAGACAGCACAAAGUGAUACAAUUCUCAGGAAGGUGCUCACCACACACAGUUGCUAAGUUUCUAGUUUUCCACCUACUGAAGAAGUGCAAGUAACAUCUGAUCAACUGUAGCUUAAGAUCCAGGGACUCUGCUCACAAGGAGAUUCUUGAGGAUGAUAACAGAUGGGGGCUUCCAUCUGGACCAGAAUAGCACUGAAGGUUGGAAGACUUGUUGGUCUCAGCGUGGUACAUCCCACACUGCAAAGCAUUCACCAAGAUGUUCAGCAGACUGAACUUUAUGUGCAAGGGGCCCCAUCCACUGAAAUAGCUUCUUGAUUAGUGCUUUUGACUCAGCUUAUCUGCCAGGAAUCCCCAGGAAGGAAGGAAGGAAGGAAAGAAGAAUAUCCUCUUGCUCCUCUGUACCUCCUCAUAUUACAACUCAACACUCUGCUUUGAUGCUUUGCUCUAAGAAAUCCUUGGUCCACAGCUAGAAGAUAUCAGCAGAGUUCUGUUCCUCAGCACUGGAAUGUGAAAACUCCGAUAAAAAGCCAUUGUCUGUCUUCACUUUUGUGUAGGCUGAGCAUUUACUGCAAAAGACUGCAGUGGCUUUUCCAAGUCUUGCUUCUUCCAGAAUGUCUAUCUGCACCUACCCCUACACACAUUAGCAGUUCCACUGCCCAGGUCCUCCCGAGCUGCUGAGCUGCAGGCACAGAGGUCGGUCUUCAGCCAGCACAACACUCAGGCACCGAUGUUCCCAAUAGCACUGUUCUGCUGGGAAGAAAACUGAGAGUGGUGGAAAAACAACAUGCCCAGAAAAGGAACCUGCCCUUUCUCUUAUUCUGAAAACAAGAAAGCUGUGGAUUUGUUUCAUCAGCAUAACCCAAAAACAGCUGACAUCAUGUCUUUGAAUACCAAGGCCAAGGGGCAGAGGAUUCUAUGCAAAGGAGGAACAGCUCAGGGAACAUAUUAGCAAGGGACACUACAACUUGUAUUUUCUUACAAUCUAUUCCUGCUAUUUCUGCUAUUUCCCAAACAAAUUGUCUUUCUAGCAUUUAAAAAGCUAAAGACUGUAAUAUGAAAGGUUACAAAGCAAUAAAGAGAAAAGCUACAGAAAACCCCCUUUGAUAAUCCUGCACACGACAUUCUAGCUAACUCUGAUUAGGUGAUGAAUCCAGUCUGAUAUGCUCAAACUUACAGACUUCUCUUAACUCCUGGGAGAUACAUCCAUUUCAGCUUGCUUUAGCAAUCCAUCUAAAACAUGAGCAAGACAUUCAGCUCCAGCCUGGAGUGCAAAAGACGAAUUUCCUUGGAAGCCAAGUCUCCUCUCCAAAUGCAGCCCUGAGAACUACUUUUAAACAUAUCUCCAAAAAGGCUUAAACAAUUAGAUAUUUCUCCCUCCCAUACAAAAACUGCUUUGCUUUGAUACAAAUGGAGACUCACUUCCUCAAAUUUGCCAUCUUUACACUCUUAAUGAUACUGUGUCCACUUUCACAAGAUCCUGAUUCACAGGCCUGGGUCAAUAGUCUCUUAAAUCCAUAGUUAACAUAUCUCAGGUUUAUAACCCUUCUAUCAGUUUCCUAGUGCAGUGUAGGGAAGCAUAGGUUAUAAACCAAUAUGCACAACAUAUCGUGUUAUUUUCUGAUGGGUAACAUUUAUUCUGCCAACUGGCAGAAGUUUUAGUCUUUUUUUUUUUUUUUUUUUGGACUACCAACAUUUGACCAAUUGCAUCACAUAUUACUUAUUGCUCUGAAAGCGUAUUAAUGUUUCAGAGACACACUGGAGUAUAUUUGCCUAC